CCGUGCUUUAAGCCAAAGAGAGAAGGAAUGCGCUGCAUAACGUGGAUAUUAACCUACAGCCCAUUGAAAACAAAGCCUAAAAUAUAUAUAUCGUCUGGCAUCGAUGAAGAAGGUGUUCACGAAGUUCUACACCUGCACUACUCUACAGUAUAGCCUUGGUGAAUCUGAGUGGCGCUACAGUUUGAGCUCUCUGGGUCUAACCUUAACUACCAUCCACAAAAGAUAAGGAAAACAUCUUCUUUUAAAAGCUCAAGCUUCUUUCACAAAACACUGGAUGUGGAAACAUCCAUAGUUCCAGAAGGGAAACAACCAAAACCCGGGAAAAGGUAACUGUAAAAAAGAGAAAAUAUAUUUUUUUUCUCACAACAUCACAGCCAGACAAGCGUGAAGUCCCAGCGUCAGACUGCAGAGAACAAGCAGGUAAAGAGGUGGGAAGUCUUUCAGCACCCACUCAAUGAGGAACAGAUGCUGACCUUUAUCCAAGAGUCACUGUGGGGAACAGACGUGGAAACAGAGCCAAAAAUGGCCCGCCAUCAUUUUGCUAACGAGACUUGCCAGCACUCAGUACAAUCAGGGCAAUUCAUUAAGCAAAGCUCUUUUUACAGAGCAGCGCAAAUGAAAAGCUGGUCACGUCGACAGGUUCACUGAUGAGACUAAAAGCCAGGUUGCUAAUAAUGGAGACGUGAAAAGAUCAUCAAGAGAUUUAGAGGUGUUCCUCUUAAAUCAUUCUCCAUAGCUCUUUCUAUACAUAUCUAUACAUAAGGCCCUGAACCCGAACCUUAGUUUAGGUAGUUUACAGUAUAUGAGGAUACGGGACACAUUUGUAAUUUGUUUGCAUUUGAUUUAUGCUUUUGCUAGCACAGCUAAAUGCGAUUAAUAGAGAGUUGGUUAGAACAUAUUGCCGCUGUCACUUUCUGCAACUGAUAACAACCGCAACCAGCAGUCAGCAUUAAAAAUAAUGAAUUCCA